rnacentral:rRNA from 1 species
GACGAACGCUGGCGGCGUGCUUAACACAUGCAAGUCGAACGGAAAGGCCCUGCUUUUGUGGGGUGCUCGAGUGGCGAACGGGUGAGUAACACGUGAGUAACCUGCCCUUGACUUUGGGAUAACUUCAGGAAACUGGGGCUAAUAACGGAUAGGAGCUCCUGCUGCAUGGUGGGGGUUGGAAAGUUUCGGCGGUUGGGGAUGGACUCGCGGCUUAUCAGCUUGUUGGUGGGGUAGUGGCUUACCAAGGCUUUGACGGGUAGCCGGACUGGGAGGGUGACCGGCCACAUUGGCACUGAGAUACGGCCCAGACUCAUACGGGAGGCAGCAGUGGGGAAUAGUGCACAAUGGGCGGAAGCCGGAUGCAGGAACGCCGCGUGCGGGAUGACGGCUUUCGGGUUGUAAACCGCUGUCGCCUGUGACGAAGCGUGAGUGACGGUAAUGGGGAAAGAAGCACCGGCUAACUACGU